rnacentral:rRNA from 1 species
UAACACAUGCAAGUCGAGCGGGAAAGCUCCCUUCGGGGAGCGAGUACAGCGGCGCACGGGUGAGUAACACGUAGGUAACCUACCCUGGGGAUCGGGAUAACCUGUCGAAAGACGGGCUAAUACCGGAUAAGACCACGGGAGCCUCGGCUCCUGAGGUAAAAGAUGGCCUAUGCUUGCAAGCUAUUACCCCGGGAUGGGCCUGCGCACCAAUAGCUAGUUGGUGAGGUAACGGCUCACCAAGGCGAAGAUGGUUAGCUGGUCUGAGAGGAUGAUCAGCCACACUGGGACUGAGACACGGCCCAGACUCCUACGGGAGGCAGCAGUGGGGGAUAUUGCGCAAUGGGCGAAAGCCUGACGCAGCGACGCCGCGUGGGUGAUGAAGGCCUUCGGGUCGUAAAGCCCUGUCAGGAGGGACGAAACCUCGCCCGACCUAAUAUGUCGGCGACCUGACGGUACCUCCAAAGGAAGCACCGGCUAACUCCGUGCCAGCAGCCCGCGGUAAUACGGAGGGUGCGAGCGUUGUUCGGAAUCACUGGGCGUAAAGCGCGUGUAGGCGG